AUUGAACGCUGGCGGCAGGCCUAACACAUGCAAGUCGAGCGAGGGGCGGACGUGUGUGUAAUGUAUGGGACCUGCCCGAUAGAGGGGGAAAACUCCUGAAACCGGUGGCUAAUCCCGCAUAGUAGUGGAUAACCCAGAGGGGAUUAGCUAGUAGGUGGGGUAAAGGCUCACCUAGGCGACGAUCUCUAGCUGGUCUGAGAGGGUGAUCAGCCACACUGGGACUGAGACACGGCCCAGACUCCUACGGAGGCAGCAGUGGGGAAUAUUGCACAAUGGGCGCAAGCCUGAUGCAGCAAUGCCGCGUGUAUGAAGAAGGCCUUAGGGUUGUAAAGUACUUUCAGCGGGGAGGCGUUACCCGAAGAGAAAGCACCGGCUAACUCCGUGCCAGCAGCCGCGGUAAUUC
rnacentral:rRNA from 1 species